CAUUAUCAGACGUAUCCCAAAAAGGGGCAAAAUAAUUGUUAUGUUGAAACAUUGAGAGAUUUGCAACGUAUGUCAAUGAGGAAGACCGAUAAAGAACAUGGUUUGCAAAUAGCACACCUGUUUCUGAUGUGGAUGAUUAUGUUGCAGAGGCUAACAGCUGCUAAUGCUUGGGUGUUGAGUGGUUGCAGGGCCACUAUAUAAAGAGAUAGCAGAGGAACACUGCAACUGUCUUUUUGGUCUGGUUUGGCCUGAACCAACCAACCUACCUUUCUGGAAAAUACUUUGAAUGGAGUGUGCUGCUUCAACUAUGAUGGCUGUUGGGUACCUUCUCAGAGUGUCUUGGAUUUGUUUAUUGCUGUUUGGUGGUAGUCUUCCUUUCCCGUCAAUGAAGGGGUACAAGUACACCUCCAGUGACCAUCCUAAAGCUAUGGCUGAGGAUAUCAAGCUAGCAAAUUAUCCAACUGGGAUGUUGGAUUUAUAUAGCCUAGUAAAAGGAUAUUCAGACCGAAGCAACAAAAUCCCACUAGCUGCAGCUUUAAAGCAGGCACCCUUGAACCCAGAGAAAGGGGCGAGGUUCCAGGGAGGUGGAGCGAUGGAGCUUGGACAGGAAAAUGCCAAGAUUGCAGACUGGAACCGUGUCGGGCCAGUGACAUUCCCUCUAAGACCUCCCUACCAGCUUAACUCAUUUGAGGAGCAGUGGGGAAGCAGAAAGCCUAUGUUCCCAUCAGCUUAUGAGCCCUCUACCAAACCAUCUUCAGAACUGGCAGGCUCUGACCUUAUCCCACCUACUCCAUAUCUGUUUUAUGAUGCAUUCAGUAGUGAUCCUACUUUGGAGUCUAAACAAGUGUCUACAAGUGGCGUGUACUUUAAUCCUACCCAGAACCUCAACUUCCAGGCUGGUGAACGAGAGGGCUCACAGAUCUAUGCCGACCAGCCAAGCAGUUGGUCCUCUGCUUCCUACAUGACCGGAGGAGAGGAGCCGGUAUUCAGUAACGUGGGCCAGGCAGCUCUGACCAUUGGCGCACAGACUCUGCAGGCUGACAAAGUAUCUAGUAGUGACACUAAUGGGGGUUACUAUAGCUCUGCACUGCAGCUCGACGUCCAGGCUGGUUCACAAAGCUAUUCCCCAAACUUGGUCUAUGAGGAUGUUUUUUAUUACCCAGAUGCUGAAACUGCACUGCUUCCUUCAAAAGAGGGUGACCGCUAUGUCUCUGCAAAUGCGGUCCGGCCAAGCACUUGGUCCUCGGCUCACUACAUGAGUGGAGGCGCAGAGCCGGUAUCCUCCAGUCACACAGGUCACUGGGCCCAUCCUGCUCCUGUUGAAACCCCCAUCUAUCCAACCUAUGUGGCUCCUUUGUACUUGGACUCUACUUCAAGUAAGCUUCAUUCAGAGGGGGUUGACACCUCCAAGUAUGACUCUAUGAACGCAGUCCAGCCAAGCACUUGGUCCUCGGCUUCCUACAUGACCAGAGAAGAGGAGCCGGUAUUCUCCAGUCAUACAGGUGACUGGGCUCAUGUUGCUCCUGUGGAAACCCCUGCCUAUCCAAGCUAUGUGGCUGAUUUCGGCUUGGACUCGACUUCAAGUAAAGCCGCUGCACAACCAGUCCUCUUCAUGCCACUGAAGAAGGCUCCUCAGCUGCCCAGCUCCAAGUGGCUUCAGAUAUCGAAGGAGGCUCCUCAGCUGCCCAGCUCCAAGUGGCUUCAGGGAUCGAAGAAGGCUCCUCAGCUGCCCAGCUCCAAGUGGCUUCAGAGGCCAAAGAAGGUGACGGACCAGUCUGCAGCUACCUACCUUGUCCAAUCCAAGGGUGGACACAUCCGAGGCCGUCAGGUGUUCUCCAUGAAGAAAUACUUCAGCGGUUUCCCUCCACCGCCCGCAUCCGUGCUUAUGGAGAUGAAGCCUAAAUCUGAGACCGUAAGAGGUAAAUGGUGACCACUUGGCCAUCAAUCGUAGUGGUGUUCAUGCUUGUGCGUGGCUUCACUGACCAGCAGUAAUUGGCUUUCCUUUUUCAGCACAAGUUUGUAACCUGAAUAAACUAAAUGUUACUUUUUAAACUU
ensembl:lncRNA